AUUCAGCUGACGAGUCCCAAAUGGGACGAAAUGCGCGUCCUGGAU
rnacentral:hammerhead_ribozyme from 1 species